GUUUACUUACACAACUCUCAUAAAUGGAUAUGUUGCUGCUGAGAACUUGAAGGAAGCAUUCAGGCUUCAUGAUGAAAUGUUACAGAGAGGUUUUAUACCAGAUGAUAAAUUCUAAGAUUUGUGUCUUGUUACUUCUGCAAAACAUGCUGGAAAUGCAAAUUUUUUCUUUUGAAGUUGCAAAUUCAACUAUGGUAUUUAGGCUUGAUCAUGAAAUGUUGCAGAGAUUCUUAUACCAGAAAGGAACGUCUAAGAUCUGUCAACUGCUUCAUUGAAACUUGCUGGCGUUGCAAAUUCAAAUUUUCUUACAUAUGGCCUAGUUCUCCAAUCCUGCCGGUCUCCACCUGAAGUUCAAAACUCCCCUCAAAUCUUGACCGUAAGAACUUCAACAAGAUCUUGUCGCAAACUGUUCAUCCACGGCCUCAUUCAUUCUUCUUAAUCCCAAGAACAGAGGCUCCGCCUCCUCCUGAAUCUUCAAUACAGAAUCCGGCUUCACCUGGCACCGCAUCCACCAGGCAGCACACGCUGCCUCUUUGCCGCUGGUCUCCCUCAAGCAAGCAGAUUCCGCUCACACGAUCAGGCUAUUCCAUGCCAACCGCCCUGGCCCGCUCAGCACAAGGCUCCCGUUGUCUCCACUCCAGGCGAGGCCCAAGAGUGCUCCGCAUGCAGUCCUACCCGCGAUCAAGCCAUUCGUCCCGCUAGUCCCGAUCGCACCAGCCCAAGCGUCUGCCUCCAGCCGACUGCACUUCGCCUCCGACCGCGCCUCCGGUAUCCGAACUUAGCUAGACGUCCGGCCUGCUUGCUCCAGUUAGCCCGAUCCAGCGGCUCCGCUCCUGCCUCCUUUGAACGUUCCUCUUUCUUCACCUAGAUAUCAAUUGUUGAAAUCAAGGAGCAAGAUCUUCAGAGAUCUUCUUACAAGAGAUAGAGAGGGAGAGCGAGAGUGAUAGACAUCAAUUUGAGAGGAAAUAUAAAUUAACUUUUCAGAAAUUUUCCCCAAAUCUUGCAUCAACCCAUAAUCUCUAUUUAUAAAGAUUUUCAAGAGUAUGAUAGCAUGCAUGGACAAUAUGAAGUAAAACUAAAUCAAUACAUAACAUAUUUACUUAAAA